UCUCUCUCAGAGUCGCACCUGGAGAGUUUCUAGUUCUCUACCAGUCUCGGCUACCAGAGGGAGAGUCAAGCAGAGGUAUACUCAUUCCAUUCCUAGCUUGGGACAGUGGGCUAGACAGUGGAAGACAAUCUGCUACAAGU
rfam:Ornithorhynchus anatinus chromosome 7, whole genome shotgun sequence.